rnacentral:rRNA from 1 species
AUUGAACGCUGGCGGAAUGCUUUACACAUGCAAGUCGAGCGGCAGCACGGGGGCAACCCUGGUGGCGAGCGGCGAACGGGUGAGUAAUACAUCGGAACACGCCCAGUCGUGGGGGAUAACACUUCGAAAGAAGUGCUAAUACCGCAUACGUCCUGAGGGAGAAAGCGGGGGAUCUUCGGACCUCGCGCGAUUGGAGUGGCCGAUGUCAGAUUAGCUAGUUGGUGGGGUAAAGGCCUACCAAGGCAACGAUCUGUAGCUGGUCGGAGAGGAUGAUCAGCCACACUGGGACUGAGACACGGACCAGACUCCUACGGAAGGCAGCAGUGGGGAAUUUUGGACAAUGGGGGCAACCCUGAUCCAGACAUUCCGCGUGAGUGAAGAAGGCCUUCGGGUUGUAAAGCUCUUUCGGCAGGAACGAAACGGCGAGCUCUAACAUAGCUUGCUAAUGACGGUACCUGAAGAAGAAGCACCGGCUAACUACGUGCCAGCCGCCGCGGUAAUAC